rfam:Clostridium chauvoei JF4335, WGS project CBML01000000 data, contig: 00001
AUAUUCGUAAAAGAGAUAACUCAUAUAAAUAUGACAAUAAGGGUCAUAAGUUUCUACCAGGAUACCGUAAAUAUCUUGACUAUGAGUGCGAAUAUUAAUUCU